CCUACGGGCGGCAGCAGUGGGGAAUAUUGGGCAAUGGGGGAAAGCCUGACCCUGCAACGCCGCGUGGGGGAUUAAGGUUUUCGGAUUUUAAACUCCUUUUGUUGGGGAAGCUAAUAACGGUAUCUAACGAAUAAGCACCGGCUAACUCCGUGCCAGUAGCCGCGGUAAUACUGAGGGUGCAGGCGUUACCCGGAAUCACUGGGCGUAAAGGGCGCGUAGGCGGGAUAGCAAGUCAGAUGUGAAAUGCUAUGGCUUAACCAUAGAACGGCAUUUGAUACUGUUAUUCUAGAGUAUGGGAGAGGUAGGUGGAAUUCUUGGUGUAGGAGUAAAAUCCGUAGAGAUCAAGAGGAAUACUCAUUGCGAAGGCGACCUGCUAGAACAUAACUGACGCUGAUGCGCGAAGGCGUGGGGAGCAAACAGGAUUAGAUACCCGGGUAGUC
rnacentral:rRNA from 1 species